CCUCCUUCCAUCCCUCCCUCCCUUUCCUACUGCCGCCCGCCCUCCCGCAGGAAUCCCAGGCGGGCGGCGCGGCACGGCAGUAGCCGGGACGCGCGGCUCCCCUUGGCUGCGCGGCGGCGGGAGGGAAGGAGGGAGAGAGCCGCGCUGGUGAGGAGGAGCCGCCGCCUCAUUCUGCGGCACCGGCCGGCGGCGUGAGGAACGCGGCGAGCGCAGGUGGCAGUGUAGAAGCCAAGAACAAAAUUUGGCAGAAAUUAUGUUCUGUGUGUAAGAAAAUGAAGAGUGUACUCCUGACUAAGCACAGGAACCUGGAAAACCACAGGAUUGCUGGGAAGCCAUGGAGGAUGGAACAGACUCAGAGCUGGAGCUUGAGGAUUUUUUUGGAAGUGAUGAGUGGGAAGUUGUCCUGGUUUUAGUCAGGUGAUCGCUGAUGACUAGUCAGCCCACCAAGAAGGGACUUCAGCACACAGGUAAGAGUGAAGCUGCAUACUCUUCCAUGCAACUGCGGGGUUCAAGGGGGGAGGUAAACAGCCCUAACAUUGUUUGAAUAGUUAAAAAAAAAUGCCUCACUUGCUUGGGUGUGUAACACUGUGAUUGUCUCUAAUGCGUCUACUUCUGCUAUUCAGUCUUGUUCUUGUAUUUUUUUACUCUUUUUUUAAAUCUGUCUUUAAUUAGAAGCUUUAUUGGAAAAAAAAAAAAAAAAGACCAAUUGUGUGUUGCUAAAUAUAGUCCCGGGUAUUGCAUGAAUGUUGCAUUUUGUUACUUUUUGAAUAAAAUAACUUUCCAUAA